rnacentral:ribozyme from 11 species
AAAGGAUUUUUAACUUUUUUUUCUUGUCAUAGGCUAUUUAAAAUUAAAAGCAGAAAAAAAAAAUAAAUCCUUUCCUA